UACGUAGGGGGCAAGCGUUGUCCGGAAUCAUUGGGCGUAAAGAGCGUGUAGGCGGCCAGAAAAGUCCGCUGUGAAAACUCGAGGCUCAACUUCGAGCUGUCGGUGGAAACUUUCUGGCUAGAGUCCGGAAGAGGAGAAUGGAAUUCCUGGUGUAGCGGUGAAAUGCGCAGAUAUCAGGAAGAACACCCGUGGCGAAGGCGGUUCUCUGGGACGGUACUGACGCUGAGACGCGAAAGCGUGGGGAGGCGAACA
rnacentral:rRNA from 1 species